rnacentral:rRNA from 1 species
UAGGGAAUAUUGGUAAUCUGGGAAACCGGGAACCAGCAACGCCGCGUGCGCGAUGAAGGCCUUCGGGUUGUAAAGCGCUUUUUGAGAGGGUGAGGAAGGACAGUACUCUUAGAAUAAGCCUCGGCUAACUACGUGCCAGCAGCCGCGGUAAAACGUAGGAGGCGAGCGUUAUCCGGAUUUACUGGGCGUAAAGCGUGUGUAGGCGGUUUGAUAAGUUGGAUGUGAAAGCUCCUGGCUUAACUGGGAGAGGUCGUUCAAAACUAUCAGACUUGAGGAUGGUAGAGGGAGGUGGAAUUCCGCAUGUAGUGGUGAAAUGCGUAGAUAUGCGGAGGAACACCAGUGGCGAAAGCGGCCUUCUGGACCAUUUCUGACACUCAGAUGCGAAAGCUAAGGUAGCAAACA